UGAAAAUGGUGUUGUUUCCUUUCAUGUAAAAACUAGUUUUUAAAUUCAUAAUUGGUACAUUUUGCCUAAUCUUUACAGAACACCAACAGGGAUGUUUAGUUACCGGAACGUUCUGAUAGAAAUGGGCUGUAUGUGUCUCUUUGACUAAGCCAGAUGUUUUAACAGUGGACCUAAUCUUCUGAACUGCAUGUUUUUUAGAACCUACUGUGGAGUAUGUUCAUUUCAACGAGGAGGAAGACGGACAGAGCAGAUCUCCUCCUGAAGAAAUGUGUACAGUUUACACUCACAGCAGCCAGUUCUCAGGAGAACACGUCCAGAAAAUUCCCCUACUAUGAGGUGCAGCUGCUCAACAGCGCCCCCUGGUGAUUUCUGUUUCAUGCUGAAUGUACCUGUUGGCUAUUGUUCAUUUGUGAUCACAUGGGUAGGGUCAUAGUUGAGAGCAGCCAUUUGUGUGGAGCUUUGCACAGUAAGGAACUCCAGAGCUUUAAUCCUUCGCUGCCAUGGAGAGGCUUUGUGUGUAAGUUUAUAUUACAUGUUUCACCUUAAUGAAUGAGGAUCAAUGCACAUUUUGUUGUUUCAUUUCCUAUUUGUGGAGAUUUAUAGAUAUUAAAAUGCUUUUUUUGCCACAUGUUGUGCAGCCAUCUGUCAAGCAAGUAGCUACCUUUCUGCACUCUCUAUUUACAUUAGGAAGAUUUUCUUGAGUAUUUACUUUCAGUUUCACAGUUUCUAGAAAAGCAUUGUAAGAAAGUAAGUUGACAAAGACAAACAAGUAAACUACUGUCAAAUUUUCUUCCAUGUCUGACCAUUUAACCCUUUCAGUGGCUAAUUUCUGUAGUGAUUUGCAGAAAAGCUGUAAUAUGAAAAGUAAACUGUUGAAAGAGAAGUGAUUCCUUGUUUUUUUUGGUGUCCUUUAACUCUUCAAGGUCACAGAUACAAACAAAAUCCAAGUGUUGUUCUGUAUAAUGCAGGUACAAUAUUUGUAGAAAGUGUUAGGUUGCUUGUUAUCGAUGGAAGCUUCUAGCUUGCAGUGAUAUUGUGCAGUUUAUUUGCCUCCUUUUAAAAAGCAUGUUUUGAUCUGUUAUCAGUCUGAAUGCUCGCUGAGUCUUCAACACUUGUAUGUGGUCAGAAAUUGCUUCAGGGAGUCUACUGGAGCAUUUCUCACCACUCCAGUUGUAACAUAUAAAAAGACAUUGACUUUAAUAAAUCACCCUCUUUUGAUGCUUUAUGUUACACAAAUCAUCUGUUUUCUUAAGUA